rnacentral:rRNA from 1 species
CAGCUGCCGCGGUAAUACCGGCGGCCCGAGUGGCGGUCACUAUUAUUGGGCUUAAAGCGUCCGUAGCCGGGUUGGGAAGUCCUCCGGGAAAUCUGGCCGCUUAACGGUCAGAAUGCCGGAGGAUACUCCCAGCCUAGGGAGCGGGAGAGGCCGAGGGGAUUCCCGGAGUAGGGGUGAAAUCCUAUAAUCCCGGGAGGACCACCUGUGGCGAAGGCGCUCGGCUGGAACGCGUCCGACGGUGAGGGACGAAGGCCAGGGGAGCAAACCGGAUUAGAUACCCGGGUAGUCCUGGCUGUAAACGAUGCGGACUUUGUGUCGGACAAGCUAUGAGCUUGUCCGGUGCCGGAGGGAAACCGUUAAGUCCGCCGCCUGGGAAGUACGGCCGCAAGGCUGAAACUUAAAGGAAUUGGCGGG